AAUCAACGCUGGCGGCGUGCCUCAGACAUGCAAGUCGAACGAUUAAGACUUCCUUCGGGAAGUGCAUAAAGUGGCGCACGGGUGAGUAACACGUAAGUAAUCUACCCUCGAGUGGGGAAUAACAGUCGGAAACGACUGCUAAUACCGCAUAAUGCAGCGGCACCGCAAGGUGACAGUUGUUAAAGGAGCAAUCCGCUUGAGGAGGAGCUUGCGGCAGAUUAGCUAGUUGGUAAGGUAACGGCUUACCAAGGCUACGAUCUGUAUCCGGUCUAAGAGGACGGGCGGACACACUGACACUGAAUAACGGGUCAGACUCCUACGGGAGGCAGCAGUCGGGAAUUUUGGGCAAUGGGCGAAAGCCUGACCCAGCAACGCCGCGUGAAGGAUGAAGUAUUUCGGUAUGUAAACUUCGAAAGAAUAGGAAGAAUAAAUGACGGUACUAUUUAUAAGCUCCGGCUAACUACGUGCCAGCCGCCGCCGUAAAAC
rnacentral:rRNA from 1 species